rnacentral:rRNA from 1 species
GACGAACGUUGGCGGCGUGCUUAACACAUGCAAGUCGAACGGAAAGGCCCUGCUUUUGUGGGGUGCUCGAGUGGCGAACGAGUGAGUAACACGUGAGUAACCUGCCCUUGACUUUGGGAUAACUUCAGGAAACUGGGGCUAAUACCGGAUAGGAGCUCCUGCUGCAUGGUGGGGGUUGGAAAGUUUCGGCGGUUGGGGAUGGACUCGCGGCUUAUCAGCUUGUUGGUGGGGUAGUGGCUUACCAAGGCUUUGACGGGUAGCCGGCCUGAGAGGGUGACCGGCCACAUUGGGACUGAGAUACGGCCCAGACUCCUACGGGAGGCAGCAGUGGGGAAUAUUGCACAAUGGGCGGAAGCCUGAUGCAGCAACGCCGCGUGCGGGAUGACGGCCUUCGGGUUGUAAACCGCUUUCGCCUGUGACGAAGCGUGAGUGACGGUAAUGGGUAAAGAAGCACCGGCUAACUACGUGCCAGCAGCCGCGGUGAUACGUAGGGUGCGAGCGUUGUCCGGAUUUAUUGGGCGUAAAGGGCUCGUAGGUGGUUGAUCGCGUCGGAAGUGUAAUCUUGGGGCUUAACCCUGAGCGUGCUUUCGAUACGGGUUGACUUGAGGAAGGUAGGGGAGAAUGGAAUUCCUGGUGGAGCGGUGGAAUGCGCAGAUAUCAGGAGGAACACCAGUGGCGAAGGCGGUUCUCUGGGCCUUUCCUGACGCUGAGGAGCGAAAGCGUGGGGAGCGAACAGGCUUAGAUACCCUGGUAGUCCACGCUGUAAACGGUGGGUACUAGGUGUGGGGUCCAUUCCACGGGUUCCGUGCCGUAGCUAACGCUUUAAGUACCCCGCCUGGGGAGUACGGCCGCAAGGCUAAAACUCAAAGGAAUUGACGGGGCCCCGCACAAGCGGCGGAGCAUGCGGAUUAAUUCGAUGCAACGCGUAGAACCUUACCUGGGUUUGACAUGGAUCGGGAGUGCUCAGAGAUGGGUGUGCCUCUUUUGGGGUCGGUUCACAGGUGGUGCAUGGCUGUCGUCAGCUCGUGUCGUGAGAUGUUGGGUUAAGUCCCGCAACGAGCGCAACCCUUGUUCACUGUUGCCAGCACGUUAUGGUGGGGACUCAGUGGAGACCGCCGGGGUCAACUCGGAGGAAGGUGGGGAUGACGUCAAGUCAUCAUGCCCCUUAUGUCCAGGGCUUCACGCAUGCUACAAUGGCUGGUACAGAGAGUGGCGAGCCUGUGAGGGUGAGCGAAUCUCGGAAAGCCGGUCUCAGUUCGGAUUGGGGUCUGCAACUCGACCUCAUGAAGUCGGAGUCGCUAGUAAUCGCAGAUCAGCAACGCUGCGGUGAAUACGUUCCCGGG